UGCGUAGGCGGGCUAAUAAGUCAGUGGUGAAAUCUUCCGGCUCAACCGGGAAACUGCCAUUGAUACUGUUAGCCUUGAGUUAGGUUGAGGUAGGCGGAAUGUGUAAUGUAGCGGUGAAAUGCUUAGAUAUUACACAGAACACCAAUUGCGUAGGCAGCUUACUGGACCUACACUGACGCUGAGGCACGAAAGCGUGGGGAGCGAACAGGAUUAGAUACCCUGGUAGUCC
rnacentral:rRNA from 1 species